AUCCUGGCUCAGAACGAACGCUGGCGGCAGGCUUAACACAUGCAAGUCGAGCGCCCCGCAAGGGGAGCGGCAGACGGGUGAGUAACGCGUGGGAAUCUACCCAUCUCUACGGAAUAACGCAUGGAAACGUGUGCUAAUACCGUAUACGUCCUUCGGGAGAAAGAUUUAUCGGAGAUGGAUGAGCCCGCGUUGGAUUAGCUAGUUGGUGGGGUAAAGGCCUACCAAGGCGACGAUCCAUAGCUGGUCUGAGAGGAUGAUCAGCCACACUGGGACUGAGACACGGCCCAGACUCCUACGGGAGGCAGCAGUGGGGAAUAUUGGACAAUGGGCGCAAGCCUGAUCCAGCCAUGCCGCGUGAGUGAUGAAGGCCCUAGGGUUGUAAAGCUCUUUCACCGGUGAAGAUAAUGACGG
rnacentral:rRNA from 1 species